UUGAGUAGAGGGACCAUAAGAAGAAAGGAGAAAGGCAUUAAUAGCUUGCAAAUAAGUAAGUCCUUGAAUCUUGUCAAUUAUUUCUUUCUUUGAAAUUCUAGAAAAUUGCUUGAAGACAAGGAGUGAGAGCUAGGAGUUGGAGGAUAGAAUACAAGACAAAGAUGCAAAAAGAGGUAAUUUUUUAAACCUUUUUAUAAAUUUUAUUUUUUUUAGGAUCAAUAGAGCUUUAAAAUCCUUUCCUAUCUCAAUU
rnacentral:lncRNA from 1 species